GCGUGCCUUACCUACGCAGCUCUAGCUACCAUGCAGUCGAGGGGCAGCAUGGUCUUAGCUUGCUAAGGCCGAUGGCGACCGGCGCACGGGUGAGUAACACGUAUCCAACCUGCCGUCUACUCUUGGACAGCCUUCUGAAAGGAAGAUUAAUACAAGAUGGCAUCAUGAGUCCGCAUGUUCACAUGAUUAAAGGUAUUCCGGUAGACGAUGGGGAUGCGUUCCAUUAGAUAGUAGGCGGGGUAACGGCCCACCUAGUCUUCGAUGGAUAGGGGUUCUGAGAGGAAGGUCCCCCACAUUGGAACUGAGACACGGUCCAAACUCCUACGGGAGGCAGCAGUGAGGAAUAUUGGUCAAUGGGCGAGAGCCUGAACCAGCCAAGUAGCGUGAAGGAUGACUGCCCUAUGGGUUGUAAACUUCUUUUAUAAAGGAAUAAAGUCGGGUAUGGAUACCCGUUUGCAUGUACUUUAUGAAUAAGGAUCGGCUAACUCCGUGCCAGCACCGACGGUAAUAA
rnacentral:rRNA from 1 species